GCCCUGGUAGCUCAGCGGAAGAGCAACCGCCUCCUAAGCGGUAGGUCGCGGGUUCGAGUCCCGCCUGGGGCACCG
rnacentral:tRNA from 1 species